rnacentral:lncRNA from 1 species
GACUGCACGGCAGCGAGGGGAUUGUGGAUCUUAUAUUAAUGUUUUUGUGUCGAGGCAGUGCAUUAGCACUACAGGUGCUUGUUACAUGAGCAAGGGGGUGUCAUAUUUUGAGUGUCAUGUCUGCAUUAGGAAUGCUGCAUUUGUCUUCCCAGGCUGCGGUGUGGAUCUCGCACUGCGGCCGCCUCACCUUGGCUGGGGAGAACCUCGGUGGGCAGGAUUCAGAGGGGCUUUUGGUUUCCCGUUUUCCACACUGAACCCUUCUAACUGGUCUCUGACCCUGAUUAUUCAGGGCUGCAAACAGGAAGGAUUUUAUUCACCGUCGAUGCGGCCCCGAGUUGUCCCAAAGCGAGGCAGUGCCCCCAAGGUCCGUGCUGAGGAGAACGCUGCUCUGCCUUUGCGGUGUCCCCCGGGUCUAUGCUGAGCAGAACGCAGCUCCGCCCUCGCGGUGCCCCCGGCCCGCCCGGGUCUGUGCCAAGGAGAACACUGCUCCGCCUUCGCUGUAUCUCCGAAGUCUGUGCAGAGGAGAACUCAGCUCCGCCCUCGCGAUGCUCUCCGAGUCUGUGCUGAGCACAACGCAGCUCCGCCCUCGCAAAGGCACAGCGCGGGCGCAGGCGCGGGGCGGUGCACAGCGCGGGCGCAGGCGCCGAGAGGCGCACAGGAGACCUCAGGCCCAGGCUCCACUCCCCAGCUGUGAAAGGACUGCUGGCCAGACCCCCAAGCUAGCCCGCCAGGCCUCCAUAGAGCUGCCCAGCAUGGCUGCGUCCAGUACCAAAAGUUGGUGGGAGACGGGUGAGGUACAGGCUCAGUCUGCAGCCAAGACUCCGUCCUGCAAGACUCUUUGGCAGUUGCACUGGGUACUGGCUGAGUUCUGGAAAACAGGAAUGUGAGCAGAGUGCUGCAGAUCUCCUUGUCAGGAGCACCUAAGAGCUGGCAUGACUCUACACCCUCUCUCCUUCUGCAAUGACCUCGUGUCAAGAUGGCAGACCUGCAGAGAUGAAUGUGCCUGGAUACCUGAGUCACCAGGUGGAGGAAACUCCCAUUGACAUGCAUCACACUCCACAUAUGAAACCCUUCUUUUUCUGCACUGUCACUGGGGUUAGGGAUUAUUACUCACUGCAACUUAGCCAAGCAUUAAGUUGCUUGACUAAUACAAGUUUCAAUAAAUGUCGCUUCAUUUC